UCGACCAACGGCUUUUAGAUGACGCCAUCGACGCCAUAUUGACGAUUCGGCUCCAAGGCUAUUCUCGGCGAUGCCGCGGUUUGCGAUUCACCGUUAGCGAAGGGGAGCGAGAGACGAUGAAAUACAGGAAGAAAAGGGCGUGAAUCGCGCACAGGAACUUCCUCCCCCCUCCCUCUCCAUCUGUCACCUUGUCGCGUGUUCCUUCGAAAUGGACUUCCAUCGUAUCAUCGAUGCUCAUCGGCAGACUCGCCGUGGAGCCAGGAAAGCAAACAGGUUCGCACAAUUCAAGCCGAGUACGCCUGCGGGGCGGGACGUCCGGGGCCAAAGGACUCGGAAGUUACGACAUCCAGCGCACAAUACCGCUUCCUGUCGCUCGUGACCUUUGAUCUCUGUCUAUCCCACUACUUGUGAUGGCACCUCAUUCGCAAUGUAAUUCCGAACGACGUGGCGCUGUAGCGAAUCUAAUCGAUCGGCACAUGGAAAAGGAAAAGCGGAAUUAUGAUAAUUCGUCGACAGAAACACGUACGUAUAUAUACUCAACAACCUUUC